ACGUAGGGGGCGAGCGUUGUCCGGAAUCACUGGGUGUAAAGGGUGCUCAGGCGGGUCGAUAAGUCAGAGGUGAAAUUUCACAGCUUAACUGUGAAUGUGCUUUUGAUACUGUCGGUCUAGAGUGCAGAAGAGGGCAAUGGAAUUCUUGGUGUAGUGGUGAAAUGCGUAGAUAUCAAGAGGAACACCAGUGGCGAAGGCGACUACCUGGUCUGUACCUGACGCUGAAGCGCGAAAGCGAGGGGAGCAAACGG
rnacentral:rRNA from 1 species